rnacentral:rRNA from 1 species
GACGAACGCUGGCGGCGUGCCUAAUACAUGCAAGUCGCACGCAGUUGGGACAGGUGAGUAACACGUGGGUAACCUCCCAUCAGAGGGGAUAACACUUGGAAACAGGUGCUAAACCGAUACUGAUGGAUGGACCCGCGGAGCAUUAGCGAGGUGGUGAGGAAACGGCUCACUAAGGCCACGAUGCAUAGCCAACCCGAGAGGGGGAUCGGUCAAACUGUUACUGAGACACGGCCCAGACUCCUACGGGAGUCAGCAGUAGGGAAUAUUCGGCAAUGGACGAAAGUCUGACCGAGCAACGCCGCGUAAGUUAAGAAGGUUGUCGGAUCGUAAAACACUGUUGUUAGAGAAGCGGUACCCAAUGAGAAAGCCACGGCUAACUUCGUGCCAGCAGCCGCGGUAAUAC